GAUGAACGCUAGCGGCAGGCCUAAUACAUGCAAGUCGAGGGGCAGCGCGGUAGCAAUACUGGCGGCGACCGGCGCACGGGUGCGUAACACGUAUGCAACCUACCUUCAACUGGAGGAUAGCCCGGGGAAACUCGGAUUAAUACUCCAUAACACAGGGAUCCCGCAUGGGAAUAUUGUUAAAGCUACGGCGGUUGAAGAUGGGCAUGCGUUCGAUUAGCUAGUUGGUGUAGGUAACGGCUCACCAAGGCUACGAUCGAUAGGGGGUCUGAGAGGAUGAUCCCCCACACUGGUACUGAGAUACGGACCAGACUCCUACGGGAGGCAGCAGUAGGGAAUAUUGGUCAAUGGGGCGCAAGCCUGAACCAGCCAUGCCGCGUGCAGGAAGAAGGGCCCCUCUGGGUUGUAAACUGCUUUUUGAUAGGGAACAAUGCCACUUGCGAGUGGAGCUGAGUGUACCUAUAGAAUAAGCACCGGCUAACUCCGUGCCAGCAGCC
rnacentral:rRNA from 1 species